AGGUAAACUGAGGCUACCUUACUAUACUGGUGAUAUUUCUAAGUGUCCAAGCUGGGGUAAGCCCAUCCUUGAUCUUGAGUUCAGUGGACCCUUGAAUUGAAGGUAGAUCAGGUCAACAAAGGAUACGGAAAUUUGUUACUAAAAUUUUGCCAAGCUGGGCAUGAGGCUGAAAUCUAAGGACCAUGGUUUGAAGCCAGCCUGGGCAGGAAAGUUAAGACUCUGAUCCCUAAUGAACCUCCAAAAAGCCAGAAGAGAAGAUGUGGUUCAAGUAGUAGAGUACCAGACUUGAAUCAAAAAGCUAAGAGACAGCAUCCAUGAGUUCAAGCCCCCAGAACGGGCACACGCACACAACCCCUAUAAAUGUGUCCCCCAACACUAUUUCCUCUGAGGAACUCAUUACCUUUAAAUAAGAUUUUACUCUUCUACCUAUGAAUGCUAUUUCUAGAUUAAGUCUAGUGCCAAAUUUGUCUUGCUUGUAGGUGCUUUUCUUUCUUUUUUUGGUGGUAGUAGAGAUUGAACCACUGCCAAAAAUAAAUAAAAAACAAUUUACAAGUAGUUUGUCCUUUAGUGUGGCUCCACUUAGGAUUUUGUCUCCACUAUAGAUACCAUAUUAUUGAAUACUCCAAACUUUUCAACAUCUUCUUGUAAGUAAAAAGUACCUAACUAUGUUUUAAGCUUCAUAGGAAAGA